UAGCCUAGUGGUUAAGGCUAUGGAUUGCCAAUCCGGAGACGGCGGGUUCGAUUCCAGU
rnacentral:tRNA from 1 species